CUUUUAAAUUCUAUUUAGUAUUCAUUCUUAAUUUACUUCAACUUAUAAAAUUUUUCUUUCUUUCGGCAUUUGGCCAAAUCCUGACUAAAACUCUUGUUUUUCUUUUCUCUAGCUAACACUAACCUGAUGGGACAAAUUGGUCGUAUGGGUAUCAAAUUCAGAGGGAAAGCUCAGAAACAAAAGUUUGAGGAACUAGCAGCGAGAGAGAUGCUACCUAGUUUGUAUGCUGAUGAUUGGGCAAUG
rnacentral:lncRNA from 1 species